GUGGCUACUGUGCCAGCUGGUGGAUCGCUCGGCUUGAGAGCUGAAGAAGGACGUGCCAAGCUGCGAUAAGCCUGAGGGAGCCGCACGGAGGCNGCUACUGUGCCAGCUGGUGGAUCGCUCGGCUUGAGAGCUGAAGAAGGACGUGCCAAGCUGCGAUAAGCCUGAGGGAGCCGCACGGAGGCGAAGAACUCAGGAUCUCCGAAUGGGAAUCCCCACCGCAAUUGCUUCGCGCAAUGGGGAACGCCGGGAAUUGAAACAUCUCAGUACCGGCAGGAAAAGAAAGCAAACGCGAUGUCGUUAGUAAGGGCGACUGAACGCGAUACAGUCCAAACCGAAGCCUUCGGGCAAUGUGGUGU
rnacentral:rRNA from 1 species